rnacentral:rRNA from 1 species
UACGUAGGGUGCAAGCGUUAAUCGGAAUUACUGGGCGUAAAGCGUGCGCAGGCGGUUUGGUAAGACAGAUGUGAAAGCCCCGGGCUUAACCUGGGAACUGCGUUUGAAACUGGGAGACUUGAGUGUGGCAGAGGGGGGUGGAAUUCCACGUGUAGCAGUGAAAUGCGUAGAUAUGUGGAGGAACACCAAUGGCGAAGGCAGCCCCCUGGGUCAACACUGACGCUCAUGCACGAAAGCGUGGGGAGCAAACAGG